rnacentral:rRNA from 1 species
CACGUAGGGGGCGAGCGUUGUCCGGAUUUAUUGGGCGUAAAGAGCUCGUAGGCGGUUCGAUAAGUCGGGUGUGAAAACUCUGGGCUCAACUCAGAGACGCCACCCGAUACUGUUGUGACUUGAGUCCGGUAGGGGAGUAUGGAAUUCCCGGUGUAGCGGUGAAAUGCGCAGAUAUCGGGAGGAACACCAGUGGCGAAGGCGGUACUCUGGGCCGGAACUGACGCUGAGGAGCGAAAGCGUGGGUAGCGAA